rnacentral:tRNA from 1 species
UCCCUGGUGGUCUAGUGGUGAGGAUUUGCUACUUUCAAUGCCACGGCCUGGCUUCAAUCCCUGGCCAGGGAA